ACGUAGGGUGCGAGCGUUAAUCGGAAUUACUGGGCGUAAAGCGUGCGCAGGCGGUUCGCCAAGUCAGGUGUGAAAUCCCCGGGCUUAACCUGGGAAUUGCGCUUGAAACUAGCGGGCUUGAGUGUGGCAGAGGGGGGUGGAAUUCCACGUGUAGCAGUGAAAUGCGUAGAGAUGUGGAGGAACACCGAUGGCGAAGGCAGCCCCCUGGGUCAACACUGACGCUCAUGCACGAAAGCGUGGGGAGCAAACAGGA
rnacentral:rRNA from 1 species